UACGAAGGGGGCUAGCGUUGCUCGGAAUCACUGGGCGUAAAGGGUGCGUAGGCGGCUUUUUAAGUCAGGGGUGAAAUCCUGGAGCUCAACUCCAGAACUGCCUUUGAUACUGAAGAUCUUGAGUCCGGGAGAGGUGAGUGGAACUGCGAGUGUAGAGGUGAAAUUCGUAGAUAUUCGCAAGAACACCAGUGGCGAAGGCGGCUCACUGGCCCGGUACUGACGCUGAGGCACGAAAGCGUGGGGAGCAAACAGG
rnacentral:rRNA from 1 species